AUGGAAGGAUUUAGAGAUACUGUUGAUUACUGUCGCUUCACUGAUUUGGGCUUCUCUGGUCUCCCAUAUACAUGGGAUAACCGACAGCAAGGACAAAACAAUGUAAAAGUUCGCCUAGAUAGAGGACUAGCUGAUGACAAGUUUUUAGAUCUAUUUGAUGACACUUCGGUGCGGCACAUUCAGACCUCUGUGUCUGAUCAUUGCGCACUUGUAUUAACGACUAAUAGAUCAGCUUGGUUACGAAAUAAAGGACGAAACAAACCGUUUCGCUUCAAAAAUGCCUGGACUCGCCACGAGAGGUAUGAACAAGUGGUGGAAGAAGGAUGGCAGCCGCAAGCUAAUGAUCUGGCCGGCGUUUAUGAUGCGCUGAAUGGUGUGCGACGUAGUCUGCAGAAAUGGAGCCGGGAGGAGUUUGGUUCGGUGGAGAAACAACUUAAAAUGAUGAGAGAAAAAUUGGAAAGGCUAAGAGCAGUCUCUUUAGGAACUGGGCCAACUCUAGCUGAACGAGACCUUCUCAAACGCAUAUCGGAGUUGCUGGCCAGAGAGGAGGCUCUCAAGAAGCAACGGUCCAGGGUUUUGUGGCUGCAGGAAGGUGAUAGGAACACUGAGUUCUUCCAUGCUAAGAUGAAAGAAAGAUCACGUACAAAUAAAAUUAAGUCAUUGCGGAAGCCAGAUGGUACGGUUGCGACUGAGCAACACGAGUUGGAAGCAAUUGCUAUGAAUUUUUACAUAGAUCUGUUUACGACACAGCAAGAGACUCAUCCGGAGCUAGCAACAGAGUUGGUUCAGUGUAAAGUUUCACAAGAAAUGAAUAAAAAGCUGUGUUCUGUUAUCACAAAUGAGGAGAUUGAAAGAGCUCUUUUCAUGAUGCAUCCAAACAAGUCCCCAGGUCUAGAUGGUUUUACAGCAGGUUUUUACAUUCACCAUUGGCAUCUUUUGAAAGAUGUUGUUUGCAAUGCUGUGCGUACUUUUCUUGAAGGCGGUGAUAUGCCGGAGGUGGUUAAUUCUACUGUUUUGGUCCUUAUUCCAAAAAUAAAAAUCCGCAAGAUCUUACACAGUACAGGCCAAUCUCAUUGUGUAACGUGCUCUAUAAACUAG
rnacentral:rRNA from 1 species